AAACAAGUUCAAAUGUGGAUGUUCAACAACCUCUGCAUAUUGGAGUCGUCAAAAAUCAAGAUUUGAACUUCGUGAUUUAGAGUUCAGAUCUGCUCAGGCUACAUACACAGGAUAUUUAAGAUCUCCUACAACCUGUGUCACAGCAAACACAAGAUUUCAGAUCAAGAGAAAAAAGUAAAACCAGUUCUCUACAACUUGUUGAGCAGUAAGCACAGAAAUCAACGAGCUAACAGGGCCUUUCUCAGGUCUCAUCUUCUGACUCACACUCAACCAUGUGCUCCCUAGCUACGUGCAAGGACAUACUGGUGCAUAUCCUCUUACAUGACCUUGCUUUUCCUGCUAUAUAAAAAACUGUCUAAAAAAGCAAAUCAAAUGGGCUGACCUCAGAUUUUCAUGCAUCUUUUAAUCAUUUCUCAGCAGCAAAAUCAUAAAGCAACUACAUUUUAUGCUGUGGCAUCUGGUGAGGUGGGAACAAAAGGAAACUCUAAGUCUCAAUGUAUAGUUUGUUUUCUGCAGAAAGGAAAUGAUACCAUUUUUCUUUGCCUUUCCCAUCUGUGUCCAGGAAACACACGUGUGCCAUUAGAGCAUACACGGAUACAAUCAGAGUACAGAAACAUCAACAGAAAUUGCCUCUCUGUUCUGCAGGUAACCUUUCAUCAUUCAUAUGAGCAGAGAAACACAGUGAACUAAGGUCACAGAAAUCUCUUUAAAAAGCAUGUCUGAGGAACAUUUGUACAACGAAGUUAUUCAAAAGUGUCAAAUGAAAUUCAAAUGAAAUUGAAAACAAGAUUAUUAAUAAAACCAAGAACUGUGCACUCACAUGCUGUAAGAUUUUAAUUUAUUUUCACUAUCCAGGCUGUGUGAGAUGUGACAAAGAUGGGUGAAAAGUUACCUUUUAAUCAGUAAGAUUCAAUCACUGGUCAUAAAUACUAAGCUAAUAGGUGAAGCACAUUGGUGAGUUUUUACAUUUGUCUUCACAUAUUAUUUUUUUUCUCCUACUCAGUAUGUCAGUUAGCAGACAGCUGAGCUUAGGCCACUUAAAAUAAGUCUCACUGUACUGUACAGUUGUAUGGUCUGUAGUGAUGACGAUGCUCUUCAACUCAAUCUUCUUCUUUCAUACUGUCCUUGUGCUUUUUGGAGAUAUUUAUUUAGUUAUUUCUAAAGAGAACCUAACUUUGUCAUACAGUAUUAGGAAGUAUUUUAUGGCUUGUGGUUUUGAUGAUACAGCAUGCAACGCUUCUGUGGAGCGCUCUGUAUUAAACAGAAAUCCUAUGGAAAGUAAGGUCAUGUUUAUUUUUCAGACCUGUAUCCCUACAUACAAACUUUCCACAACUCCAGAAAAUCAUCAGCUUGAGCACAGAACAGAGUCACUAAGAGUAUUAGUUACAUCCCUUGUAUGUGGACUACCUAGUGACUGAGCACAGCUGAAUGACAGCUUGCAGGGACACAGUUGAUAGAGGGUGUUUUAGGAUACAGUAGUUAUUCAGAACCCACUCAGAUGUCUCAGCAGAUUAAUUGGUCUUUUUAUGCCAUUUAGCUGACAUAUUCGACAUGAAAAUAAUCAAAAUAUGACCUAUAUCUAGGCGGCAGUUUUUCAGUCAAGCUCUUUCCUUAGCCAGACCUCUGUGAACACAGUGUAUAAAACAUUUCCACAAAUCAAUCAUGAUUGAAAAAUAUAUAUAUAUAUACUUUUGGCUUGUGGUCCGUGGUUCUGUCUCCUUUUUUACAUUAUUAAAUUCCACUGAAUCAUAAUGACAGUAAUCUCCUG